rnacentral:lncRNA from 1 species
AGACAUCGCUGCGGCCGGGAUAGGGCGCCGCCGUUCUGGCCGGCUUUCUCGGUGCCCUGGAGGACCUGGCCGGCUCCGCGGGAAGCUGUACUCAGAGCGCGCGGCCGCCCUCUGGCAGGGAGGAGUUCGUUGCACUUUUGAGGGUUCUUCACGAAGACAUCCAAUACAUAGAAAACAAGUAACAGCAACAGUAACGAAUUUUUAAAUAUUAAAAUUGCUGGGGAACACGACGGAUCCUGCAGCUGCUCGGCUGUCCCGGUCGUCAGUGACGCUAGGGCUCCGCACCGUACCCUGCAUACCGUAGGUGCUCACGAAACGUUCGUGAGUUCCCUGCUCUGAGGAAACAAGCUUAAAAACUCAGAAUCUAAGGUGUGAGUCUCCGCAAACCUGCUUGUUGGGCAGCGUCCCCCGCCCGGGCUAGCCCUGCACGCCCCACCCCGGAGCCACGCUUCUCCAGCCGGGACCCCUGCCUCCUUCCAGGCUAUUCUCGGAACCGCAGCCAGAGGGAAUUUUUUUUUCCUUUCCUGAAACGUAGAGCAGAUCUGGUUACUCUUCUGCACAACGCCCUAAAAUCUAGGGCCCUUCCCAUCCCUCAGAAUUUACAUCUAAUUCUCAGCUCCCCUCCGGCUUGCUGUAGCCAUCCUGGCUUUUGUUUAGCACAGCACUUACUGUUAGUGACAUUAUAUUGUAUAUUAUUAACAUAUUUGUGUUUUACAUCCCUCACUAGACCCCCAGGAAAGAGGCUUUGAUGUGUUGCCUGCUGCAAGGCUGGCUGCAUAAUUUGUGGAGCUCAGAGAAAAGUGCGGAGCUUCCUUGUUCAAAAAACAGAAAGAAAGUGCCUCUGAGGUCAUAAAAUAUAAAACUUUCUCUUUCCUCUCAGUUUCUCUCUUUUCAUAGUGUUUUUAUGUGUUAUUUAAUAUCAUUCCAAGAAAAAUUUAGAUUUAAAUUGUUAGCAUGAAGUUCACCAUCCAUCUUUACGUUGUGCAAUGCCAGUUUUAAAUACUAAUAUAAGUGCACUGAUCUCAUAUGUGGAAUCACAGAAAUUAUGCAAUUUGUACUUCAUAGCUUAUACAUGCAUAUAGAUUUUGUUUUUACCAGAACCACGCUGGUAAAAACAGAUGCUGCACAAAGUGAACUUGCCCGUUUUCAUCGCACUUUACGUGCACGAAUUCUACCUCUACUCUCGACCUGGGACUCACCGAUGCGUAAGGAAGGACUGAAAAGCAAAAGAACUAUGGACUGGCCUUUUGGCAUGAUCAGGUGUCUAAUAUAAAGAAGUGCAUGAAUAAGAAAAUAUAUGAUAUGAGUGAUGGUUAAUACUGACUGUCAACUUGAUUGGAUUGAAGGAUGCAAAGUAUUGAUCCUGGGUGUGUCUGUGAGGGUGUUGCCAAAGGAGAUUAACAUUUGAGUCAGUGGGCUGGGAAAGUUCGACCCACUGUUAAUCUAGAUGGACACCAUCUAAUCAGAUGCCAGUGCAGCUAGAAAUGUAAAGCAGACAGAAAAAUGCGAAAAGAGAGACUGGCCUAGCCUGCCAGCCUACAUCUUUCUCCCACGCUGGAUGCUUCCUGCCCUCGAACAUCAGACUCCAAGUUCUUCAGUUUGGGACUUGGACUGGCUCUCCUUGUUCCUCAGCUUGAAGACUGCCCAUUGUGGGACUUGUGAUCAUGAGGCUCAGGAGCUCAAUAGGAAGUGCUGAAGCUUGGCCACAGAGAUGUAGAGAUGUGUCUGACCUGGAAGAGUUGGUGGGAAGGGGAUAGAAGACAAACUGCCGAAGGAUAGAGUGAUUCCUGAGAGAAAAAUCACAUGAGUAAGAAGGCUGGUGGGGGGAGGUGUGAGGAAGCAGGGACAUUUCAGGUAUAGUGUGGGGGUACACUGGAACCUUUUCUGACCCAGUUUUCAUUUUCCUUGAGGAAACAACUUCAUGUCCUGAAAGUGCAAAACUGAAAGAGUUAUUUUGGUAAGGUCCCCAACUCCCAACCCCUUCUCCCAGAGGAGAUCCAAUGGAGGAAAGAAAUCAAACGAAAACAUGUAACGAUGAAAGCAUUAUCUGACCGGAUGGAGAGAAAGAUGAGAACCCAAGGUUGCCAGCAGCCACUGAGAUGCGACUAGUUGACGGUGGCAGCAGAGGGUGGCAGAGGUACUACUAUUACCAUGAGCACUAGCGGGCAGAUCGGGAGAAGGUAGGAAGUGCCGCAGAUGGGCUGUCAAAGGUGGCUUCUCCAGCUCUAGGUGGACAGCUCUCUUCAACUGUGUCACCUCAAGUGGGAAGAUAGUCCAGAGGGCCCAGUGAUAAACAGCUAACAUGAUAACAUGAGCCUUUCUUUCUUUCUUUCUCUCUUUCUUUCCUUCCUUCCUUCUUUCUCUCUUUUUCCUUCCUUCUUUCUUUCUUUCUCUCUCUCUUUCUUUCCCCUUCCUUCCUUCCUUCUUUCUUUCUUUCUCUUUCUUUCUUUCUUUCUUUCUUUCUUUCUUUCUUUCUUUCUUUCUUUCUUUCUUUCUUUCUUUCUCCUUCCCUCCCUCCCUCCCUCCCUCCCUCCCUCCCUCCCUUCCUUCCUUUCUUUCUUUUUUUUCUUCUUUUUCUUUUAUUUGAGACGAAACCUCACUCUGUUGCCCAGGCUGGAGUGCAGUGGCAUGAUCUCGGCUCACUGCAACCUCUGCCUCCUGAGUUCAAGUGAUUCUCCUGCCUCAGCCUCCUGAGUAGCUGGGAUUACAGGCAUGCACCACCACACCUGUCGAAUUUUUGUACUUUUAGUAGAGAUGGGUUUCACUAUGUUGGUCAGGCUGGUCUCGAACUCCUGACCUCAGGCGAUCCAUCCACCUCGGCCUCCCAAAGUGCUGGGAUUACAGGUGUGAGCCACCAUGUCUGGCCCUAACAUAAGCAUUUCUAACAAACAUAAAACAAAGAUAGUCAACCCCCCAAAUUCAUACUCAAUAUACUGUCAUACAAACUGAAUCU